AUUACCUAAUUUACCUGUUAUUUUAUAUCACUGAUUUAAUAAUAUUAUUAUUAAGACAAAUUACUAUUUUUAGGUCGGUUCUGCUUAUGGCUGCCCAUGUUACACACGAAACUCAUCUUAUGACUUGAAUUCACCACCCAGCUUCAAAUAUUAAUUAUUGUUGAACCAUUUAUCAGUCACAAAGAAUUUUAACAUGCAAGAAUCGAGCUGAAAAUAGAGACCUACAAAUGAAAUCUUCAAUAAUCAGCCUCCGACUUAGCAUAACAUGGCCCAUAUUACUGUAUGGUGAUAUCACAUACUGCUUAAUUAUGUGACUUAACUAUGUUUAACUAUUUUGUUUCUCAAUUUGAGUUUUUAAGAAUUUGACAUUGUAAAAUAGGUUUAGGUCAUUGUGCAAUUUUUAAUAUGUGAUUAUUGAUACUAGUAACUUUUUA